rnacentral:rRNA from 1 species
GGGUUGUGAGGUUAAGCGACUAAGCGUACACGGUGGAUGCCCUGGCAGUCAGAGGCGAUGAAGGACGUGCUAAUCUGCGAUAAGCGUCGGUGAGGUGAUAUGAACCGUUAUAACCGGCGAUUUCCGAAUGGGGAAACCCAGUGUGUUUCGACACACUAUCAUUAACUGAAUCCAUAGGUUAAUGAGGCGAACCGGGGGAACUGAAACAUCUAAGUACCCCGAGGAAAAGAAAUCAACCGAGAUUCCCCCAGUAGCGGCGAGCGAACGGGGAGCAGCCCAGAGCCUGAAUCAGUGUGUGUGUUAGUGGAAGCGUCUGGAAAGGCGCGCGAUACAGGGUGACAGCCCCGUACACAAAAAUGCACAUGCUGUGAGCUCGAUGAGUAGGGCGGGACACGUGGUAUCCUGUCUGAAUAUGGGGGGACCAUCCUCCAAGGCUAAAUACUCCUGACUGACCGAUAGUGAACCAGUACCGUGAGGGAAAGGCGAAAAGAACCCCGGCGAGGGGAGUGAAAAAGAACCUGAAACCGUGUACGUACAAGCAGUGGGAGCCUCUUUAUGGGGUGACUGCGUACCUUUUGUAUAAUGGGUCAGCGACUUAUAUUCUGUAGCAAGGUUAACCGAAUAGGGGAGCCGAAGGGAAACCGAGUCUUAACUGGGCGUUAAGUUGCAGGGUAUAGACCCGAAACCCGGUGAUCUAGCCAUGGGCAGGUUGAAGGUUGGGUAACACUAACUGGAGGACCGAACCGACUAAUGUUGAAAAAUUAGCGGAUGACUUGUGGCUGGGGGUGAAAGGCCAAUCAAACCGGGAGAUAGCUGGUUCUCCCCGAAAGCUAUUUAGGUAGCGCCUCGUGAAUUCAUCUCCGGGGGUAGAGCACUGUUUCGGCAAGGGGGUCAUCCCGACUUACCAACCCGAUGCAAACUGCGAAUACCGGAGAAUGUUAUCACGGGAGACACACGGCGGGUGCUAACGUCCGUCGUGAAGAGGGAAACAACCCAGACCGCCAGCUAAGGUCCCAAAGUAUAGCUAAGUGGGAAACGAUGUGGGAAGGCUCAGACAGCCAGGAUGUUGGCUUAGAAGCAGCCAUCAUUUAAAGAAAGCGUAAUAGCUCACUGGUCGAGUCGGCCUGCGCGGAAGAUGUAACGGGGCUAAACCAUGCACCGAAGCUGCGGCAGCGACGCUUAUGCGUUGUUGGGUAGGGGAGCGUUCUGUAAGCCUGCGAAGGUGUGCUGUGAGGUAUGCUGGAGGUAUCAGAAGUGCGAAUGCUGACAUAAGUAACGAUAAAGCGGGUGAAAAGCCCGCUCGCCGGAAGACCAAGGGUUCCUGUCCAACGUUAAUCGGGGCAGGGUGAGUCGACCCCUAAGGCGAGGCCGAAAGGCGUAGUCGAUGGGAAACAGGUUAAUAUUCCUGUACUUGGUGUUACUGCGAAGGGGGGACGGAGAAGGCUAUGUUGGCCGGGCGACGGUUGUCCCGGUUUAAGCGUGUAGGCUGAUUUUCCAGGCAAAUCCGGAAAAUCAAGGCUGAGGCGUGAUGACGAGGCACUACGGUGCUGAAGCAACAAAUGCCCUGCUUCCAGGAAAAGCCUCUAAGCAUCAGGUAACAUCAAAUCGUACCCCAAACCGACACAGGUGGUCAGGUAGAGAAUACCAAGGCGCUUGAGAGAACUCGGGUGAAGGAACUAGGCAAAAUGGUGCCGUAACUUCGGGAGAAGGCACGCUGAUAUGUAGGUGAAGCGACUUGCUCGUGGAGCUGAAAUCAGUCGAAGAUACCAGCUGGCUGCAACUGUUUAUUAAAAACACAGCACUGUGCAAACACGAAAGUGGACGUAUACGGUGUGACGCCUGCCCGGUGCCGGAAGGUUAAUUGAUGGGGUUAGCGGUAACGCGAAGCUCUUGAUCGAAGCCCCGGUAAACGGCGGCCGUAACUAUAACGGUCCUAAGGUAGCGAAAUUCCUUGUCGGGUAAGUUCCGACCUGCACGAAUGG